rnacentral:rRNA from 1 species
UACGUAGGGUGCAAGCGUUGUCCGGAAUUAUUGGGCGUAAAGAGCUCGUAGGCGGUUUGUCGCGUCUGCUGUGGAAAUCAGGGCUUAACCCUGGACCUGCAGUGGGUACGGGCAGACUAGAGUGCGGUAGGGGAGAUCGGAAUUCCUGGUGUAGUGGUGAAAUGCGCAGAUAUCAGGAGGAACACCGGUGGCGAAGGCGGAUCUCUGGGGGCAACCUGACGCUGGAGGCGCGAAAGCGUGGGGAGCGAACCGG